rnacentral:tRNA from 1 species
CAGGGAGACAACAAAAUGUUUAAUAUUAUUAUUUUGUCACCUUAGGUCGAUCGGUAUCUCACGUUCUUAAUUAAUUAAGAAUUUCAUUUCCUAAGUUUUUCUAGGUCACACCCAUUAUUUUUCCUGGGCCAUUAGCUCAGGUGGUUAGAGCGCACCCCUGAUAAGGGUGAGGUCCCUGGUUCAAGUCCAGGAUGGCCCAUAUCUCUAUGUUGGGGGUAUAGCUCAGUUGGUAGAGCGCCUGCUUUGCAAGCAGGAUGUCAGCGGUUCGAGUCCGCUUACCUCCACUGAUUACCACCUCUUCCAUAAUCUGUAGAAAGGAAAUUUUUUGAGUUGUGAUCAAAUUCUGAACGAAUCUAGCUUCCUAAUGAAAGCAUUAAGAUGCUGGACUCAUUGAAUUAAUUUCAUUGUUUUCAGAGAACCUUGACAACUGUAUAGAUUAUUUUUUUAAAGACAAUAAGCAUCUUUAAUGAUGCAGAUUUAUUAUUUGUGCGAAUGCAUUAAUAACAAUUCUAUUAAGCUGAUGCUUCAAUUUUGAAGUUAUU